AGAAUCUGGAUAUUUGAGUGAAGUUUUAUAUUGAAGAUGCCGUGUCCAAGCAAGCGCUCCAGGGCAGCCAAAAAAGAGACAGGCUGAUUUGAGGUCCACUAAGAUGCCGGCUGAUGUCGCUGAGUCAGGACAGACUACAGUGGACCGAGAUACCGAGGUUUUGCCACCGCUACCUCGUAAAAAUAAAGCAAGGGCCGAGGUUUUGCCAGCGCUACCUCAUAAAAAAAAGGCCAGUGCUCCGCAGUCUUCGGACGCCAACUUUGUUCCCGUACUGCUCACGUACUGCUCAAACUCAGCCAAACUCUGCUGAAACUCUGCUCAAACUCAGCCAAACUGCUGACUCUCUGAAUAUGUGCCAUGACUCUGCAAACCCACUGUCAAAUACUUUGACUUCUAAUGCUACUAAUGAUUGUUUGAUUGAAUCUGUUGACUUCCCAGAGAGAUCUGUGCUGAUGGGGUCCUUUCAUCAAGGCGAUUUGCAAAUGUGCGCAACAAGCAGUGUGGUGCCAUCAGUUUGACUGCUGUUUUGAAGUCCAAGAUGAAGAACAUGUGGAGUUGGGAAACUCGAGAUCUUGAUGAUGUUUUGAUUAAGGGAACUGUUCUUUACAGGUCAAUGAGUGCACAGGGUAAAAUAAGAGACCAAGGAAGGGGUUACAUUGUUGUCUGAAUUGCCUAGGCAAUAUGAAGUGUGGAAUUGUGA